rnacentral:rRNA from 1 species
AAAUUGAAGAGUUUGAUCAUGGCUCAGAUUGAACGCUGGCGGCAGGCCUAACACAUGCAAGUCGAACGGUAACAGGAAGAAGCUUGCUUCUUUGCUGACGAGUGGCGGACGGGGGAGUAAUGUCUGGGAAACUGCCUGAUGGAGGGGGAUAACUACUGGAAACGGUAGCUAAUACCGCAUAACGUCGCAAGACCAAAGAGGGGGACCUUCGGGCCUCUUGCCAUCGGAUGUGCCCAGAUG